rnacentral:rRNA from 1 species
GGUGAACGCUGGCGGCGUGCUUAACACAUGCAAGUCGAACGAGAACGGAAUAUAGCUUGCUAUAUUUGUCAGCUAAGUGGCGCACGGGUGAGUAAUGUAUAGAUAACCUGCCCUUAAGAAAGGAAUAACAGUUGGAAACGACUGCUAAUGCCCUAUAUGCCUUUAAUACAUAAGUAUGCAAGGGAAACGCUUUAGUGCUUAAGGAUGUGUCUUUAUGGUAUCAGCUUGUUGGUGAGGUAAGGGCUCACCAAGGCUAUGACGCCUAACUGGUUUGAGAGGAUGAUCAGUCACACUGGAACUGAGACACGGUCCAGACUACUACGGGAGGCAGCAGUGGGGAAUAUUGCACAAUGGACGAAAGUCUGAUGCAGCAACGCCGCGUGGAGGAUGACACAUUUCGGUGCGUAAACUCCUUUUAUAUAGGAAGAUAAUGACGGUACUAUAUGAAUAAGCACCGGCUAACUCCGUGCCAGCCGCCGCCGUAA